rnacentral:rRNA from 1 species
UGGGGAAUAUUGCACAAUGGGCGCAAGCCUGAUGUAGCCAUGCCGCGUGUAUGAAGAAGGCCUUCGGGUUGUAAAGUACUUUCAGCGGGGAGGAAGGGAGUAAAGUUAAUACCUUUGCUCAUUGACGUUACCCGCAGAAGAAGCACCGUCUAACUCCGUGCCAGCAGCCGCGGUAAUACGGAGGGUGCAAGCGUUAAUCGGAAUUACUGGGCGUAAAGCGCACGCAGGCGGUUUGUUAAGUCAGAUGUGAAAUCCCCGGGCUCAACCUGGGAACUGCAUCGGAUACUGGCAAGCUUGAGUCUCGUAGAGGGGGGUAGAAUUCCAGGUGUAGCGGUGAAAUGCGUAGAGAUCUGGAGGAAUACCGGUGGCGAAGGCGGCCCCCUGGACGAAGACUGACGCUCAGGUGCGAAAGCGUGGGGAGCAAACAGG